GGCCCUAUGGUCAAGCGGUUAAGACAUCGCCCUUUCACGGCGGUAACCCGGGUUCGAAUCCCGGUAGGGUCA
rfam:Proteiniborus sp. DW1 genome assembly, contig: DW1_contig58